rnacentral:rRNA from 1 species
CCCCCACAUUGGAACUGAGACACGGUCCAAACUCCUACGGGAGGCAGCAGUGAGGAAUAUUGGUCAAUGGGCGAGAGCCUGAACCAGCCAAGUAGCGUGCAGGAUGACGGCCCUAUGGGUUGUAAACUGCUUUUAUAAGGGAAUAAAGUGAGCCACGUGUGGUUUUUUGCAUGUACCCUAUGAAUAAGGACCGGCUAAUUCCGUGCCAGCAGCCGCGGUAAUACGGAAGGUCCGGGCGUUAUCCGGAUUUAUUGGGUUUAAAGGGAGCGUAGGCCGGAGAUUAAGCGUGUUGUGAAAUGUAGAUGCUCAACAUCUGCACUGCAGCGCGAACUGGUUUCCUUGAGUACGCAUAAAGUGGGCGGAAUUCGUGGUGUAGCGGUGAAAUGCUUAGAUAUCACGAAGAACUCCGAUUGCGAAGGCAGCUCACUGGGGCGCAACUGACGCUGAAGCUCGAAAGCGCGGGUAUCGAACAGGAUUAGAUACCCUGGUAGUCCGCGCGGUAAACGAUGGAUGCCCGCUGUUGGGCCAACUGGUUCAGCGGCCAAGCGAAAGCAUUAAGCAUCCCACCUGGGGAGUAC